rnacentral:rRNA from 1 species
AUUGAACGCUGGCGGCAGGCCUAACACAUGCAAGUCGAACGAGUGGCGGACGGGUGAGUAAUGUAUGGGAACCUGCCUGAUGGAGGGGGAUAACUACUGGAAACGGUAGCUAAUACCGCAUACCAUCAGAUGUGCCCAGCUGGGGUUAGCUAGUUGGUGGGGUAACGGCUCACCUAGGCGACGGGCCCUAGCUGGUCUGAGAGGAUGACCAGCGACACUGGAACGGGGACACGGUCCAGACUCCUACGGUAGGCAGCAGUGGGGAAUAUGGCACAAUGGGCGCAAGCCUGAUGCAGCCAUGCCGCGUGUAUGAAGAAGGCCUUCGGGUUGUAAAGUACUUUCAGCGGGGAGGCGUUACCCGCAGAAGAAGCACCGGCUAACUCCGUGCCAGCAGCCGCGGUAAUAC